UACGUAGGUGGCAAGCGUUGUCCGGAAUUAUUGGGCGUAAAGCGCGCGCAGGUGGUCUUUUAAGUCUGAUGUGAAAGCCCACGGCUCAACCGUGGAGGGUCAUUGGAAACUGGGGGACUUGAGUGCAGGAGAGAAGAGUGGAAUUCCACGUGUAGCGGUGAAAUGCGUAGAGAUGUGGAGGAACACCAGUGGCGAAGGCGGCAUCCUGGACCGGUAUUGACGCUGAGGCGCGAAAGCCAGGGGAGCAAACGGG
rnacentral:rRNA from 1 species